rnacentral:lncRNA from 13 species
CACAGAGGAGACACACACAUAAGAGAGUACCAUGUGAAGAUGGAGGCAGAUAUUGAAGUGAUGCAGCUACAAGCCAGAAACUCAUAGACUGCAGGCAACCACCAGAAGCUAGGAGAGAGGCAUGGAUCAGAUUCUCCAGCAGAGCCCUCCGAAGGAACCAACCCAGUGGGCACCUUGAUUUUGGACUACUAACUGUGUGACCCAUGAAAGAACAAAUGUGCAUUGCUGCCAUCCUAGGAGCUUGAAAUUGUCCUCUACUGAGGCCUGUGGACUCUGUGGUGAUGAAGUGGACAUCAGAACAAAAGCAGUAAUCCUUCAGGUUGCACUGGCAUUUCCGCUCCAGACCAUCAAACUUGAAAGCAUCAUGAAGACCCAGAGCCAAGCCUGGAAAAGUGUGUCCUUUCUGGUCCAGCACCUGCCUGUCUGUUCAACUCCAUAA